rnacentral:lncRNA from 1 species
UCCUUUGGGUCAGAAAGCAACACCACCAACGUUGGUCUUUUAGAUCAGAAAGCAACGGAAAGACUGCCCUUCGGAUCAGAAAGCAACAUCUGGUGCGUGUUUUCAGAAUUCAGAUCAAAUGUAUGCAUCGAGGAGUCUUGCUUCAUGAGUAUUUCUUCUCCAGCACUGUGCAGUUGGCUUGUAUGCUGGUAUGGCGUGAGAGGUUGGUACAUUCGAUGGAUAUCAGGCCAAGGCUACCGUGUGUAUAUAUCUGAUGAUGACUAGCAUCAGUUAGCCCAGGUAAGCUACGCAUACGGCAUAUCGCAUGUUAUAGUCUCAUGUCCUCAUCUAAUGUAUCAUGAUCACAUCCAAUCCAAUUUUUCAUCAAGUUAUAUCCUAAUUCUCGUCAACUCCGUCUCCGUCGAUGUAGAAUUGCAGAUGGAUAUAUAUGAAGCAAGUUGGAACCAACCGGCCGAAAUUUUAAAGACCAGCAGGCGCACACGGCGAUCUGUUUACCUUUUGUUAUUCUGCAACGCGUUCGUAUUGCGGCUGACACUUUAAGGUGAUGUAUCUGGAUCAGUGAUCACAUCAAGAAAACAGUUGCGAAGUCAAAAGAGAGGAGCAGCUUUGCUUGGGAAGAAUUUAUGCC